UUUGUUUGUAAACUCCGUAGGAAAGAACUAAAACUUAAUUGCUCAUUACCAUCCCCAUCUCUUUACAAACAGACUUCUUUUCCCAUGGUUUUUUCUCUUAACAAAAAUUUGGGAUCCCAUCCUUCACUUCAAUAUAGGAUUUUAUCUUUUAAUUCGAUCCCUCCUCUAUUAAUCUUCUCAAUCUGGAACUUUUUAUUUACCGAAGUUUUCUUCUUCACCUCCAUCACCAGCUCUAUUGUUCCCGAAAUUAGAUUCACGGUUAAUUUAUAACCUUAAAAGGGGAUGAUAAGAUUAUCAAACUUAUAAACAGGGUUACACUAAGGUUAUCAUCCCCUUUGUUCGUUCGUAUUCAAACCCCUAAUUUUGUUGUUUGUUUUUACCAUGAUUUCUUUCCCUAAAUUUUUUGAUUCCAAUUUUUCAAUUUAACCUAAUAAAUCUUUAUCUCUAUGAAAAGAAUUUGUGAAUUUUAUUUGUUUUGUAGGAUUUUUUUAAUGGUGUGAGGACAAGUAAUUGUUAGUAGAUGCUUAUUAGCUUCAUUGGAUGGACUUACUAGAUCCGCUGUAAGUUUUAAAGUUCUUCAAGGUUAGGGUAUAGUAAUAGGUCUUUUUGUCAAUUAUGCAACCUUUAUUCCUUCUAAGGUCUUGUAUUAAUCUUCCUCUUGCACUCUUAAAUUGAGUGAGAAUAAAUUAGUUCUGAGUUUGUUACUAGUUGGAUAAGAUAAGUUCCGGGUUUUAGAGUUGUUAAAUUGAGUGGAAGUAUUUCCAUUUCCAUAAUAAGAUUCAUUUUUUGUUGAUUCAUAGGGUAUAGAUUACUGAUAUCUCAAAUGUGGGUAAGACUGCUGCAUAUACACUUGUAACACGGUGUCUCAGUUUUGUGGAAUUCUUUUGUUGCAAUAUUGCUUUUUGUUAAUACUUAAUUAGGAUUGCAGUUUGUGAAGGCUUGACAGAAGUUUUAAGAUGCUUAUUUAUAUGUAUGUAUAUGCGUAUAUUAAUUUGUACACAAUACCCUCUAUGAAUGUUGUUUGACUCGUUUUCUCAUCCUAAUUGCCGUAGCCUCCAUAUAGUACUGUAGAAUGGAUGAGAGUAAAUGUGUCGUUGUAUUUAUAAUAGCCUUACUGUGAACGAACUGAACAAAUGGUUUCCUUAGUGUGGAAUUUGGUUGCCUGGUAUCCAACUGGUUUAAAGAGAACUUAAUGUGGGUGAACUUAUGCGACUGUACACCGGUACUGAAUCUUCUUUUAUUCUCUUAGGUUGGCGAAUACAUAUGGUCUAACCAGUGACCAGUAGUGAUAAUGAAUUGACAUAUUAUAAAUGUCAGUUUUCAUUAUCAAUUCCGCAUCUUGUCCUCUAAUUAGGAUUGUAUUUUCUCCUUCUAUAGCAGUCUGCAGUCAAGAAUUUGGUUCUGUGACAUGAUCACCUGUUCUGUAUUCGUCCAGACAGAAGUUACUCAGAGGUUGAGCAAAGAUAAAGAAUCUUCCUGAAGACCUGCUGGAUUUUAUGACGAAUACAGAGAGAAGAUUCGGGUGAUUAGCGAUUUUAUAUUUGUAGUCUUGAUAUAUAUUUGCUCCUAUGAUUUAUAUAUAUUAUAGGGUAGUAUUUGUUGCUGCUGAAAACCUUUUACUUAACCUAGUUUUACCAUAUGACUUGUUUGGUAUGUGCAAAGUGAAUAUCUGGGUAACUUUGUUAAGUGAUUGAGUUCGUAGUUACUUGAGGAUCCAGGGAGUUGGUUUUCUAAUAAGUCUUUCCAGUAACCAAGUUAACUUGAUAGAUUCACUAAUGUGACACAAAACUUUAAAAGCCAAUGCGAACGAGGGAACAAGUUUUUCUUAUUUAUAAAUUUUUGUUCCGGAUUAUCUAUGCAGUGAUUUCUCUAGUCAAAGUAAAUUUCUAUUCAAAAUAAAUCUUCUUGUUUGAUUGUCUGUAGUUUCUCGUGCUUUCGGUAUAUUUAGAUUUGAUUUUGCAUUUUGUCUUUUUUGUUUUUGUUUUUAAACAUACUGAAGUUUCUUUUUAUUUCAUUAAUUUUUACGGAGGCUAGAGGUUGGUUGCAUCUUAUGCAAAACUUAAUUGGCUUUCGAGAUCGAAGGACUUCAUUGUGUCAGGUUUGUCUAUAAGGAAGUUAUAUAUGACGCAGGUAUUGGUGUUUACUUGUUUAUCCUGGUAUGCGCAAAGACUAUAUACCAUUUAAAUUGUGCUACCCUUAAAAAUGAAAAACCUUCUAGCGUUAAUGGUUAUAGUAAUGAUUAUAUUCAAAAUCGUCUUAUAGACUUAAUAAACGUGAAGGUGAAGGCCCCCUUCAGUUUUCAUCUCAAGAAGAAGCUUGAAUAUCCCUUGUCAUUAAUGAGAAUUUUAUGAACUCGACGGAAUAAAUUCGUUUUGCGGAACUUUCUGAUACAUUUUAUUUGGGUGACUGUGUUUUCUAGGUUCCAACGGUGUGUCAGGUAUGAUGGGUCGUCUUUGGGUUUUCCCCAUCAAAGCAAGGAACAUUUAGCUCUCUUGUGACCCCAGCAAUGAGAUGUGUCUACUGCUUAUGAUAAUACAACCAAACCACGUGGUUGACUUCUUUUUGCGCAAAGAAUUUCGUGAUCUAAUCUUUUGCAAUCCCCAUCAGUCAGUAAAUCAUACACAUGUAUUGGGCGAUUGUGGUUCCUCUAGAUACAAUCAUGUCACUCUGUUAUUGAUGAUUAAACAACCAAACGGGCUUCAGGGUACAAAAUCUAUUUCAUCUUGGAUUGGUUGUUUAAAGCACCAAAAGCUUAUGCCAUGGUGACCAGGCUUACUCCUGCCUAUCUGCAAGUUCUAGGUUGUUGUCUUGUUCAAGAAAUGUUGUUAUGGGAUCGACUAUGCCGUGUGGUUGGCUCCUUAUGAAGGAUCCGUUCACCCUGUAGCCUGUAGGGUCUUGUCAUGAGUUUACCGUGUUUGAUAUUGUUUUUUUUUUUUUUUUCAUUGAUGUAAAUAUUUGAUAGUUGAUGCUAAUUACAUAUAUACUAUAUUCCCUUUGUAUAAGUGAGCCUGUAAUAACAUUUUUGUUUAAAUCAAUAUAUAUUCCUUUAUUUA